ensembl:lncRNA
UGUGUGUGUGUGUGUGUAGUCCCACCCUGUGUGUGUGUGUGUAGUCCCACCCUGUGUGUGUGUGUGUAGUCCCACCCUGUGUUCUGUGUGUGUGUGUGUGUGUGUGUGUGUGUGUGUGUGUGUGUGUAGUCCCACCCUGUGUUCUGUGUGUGUGUGUGUGUGUGUAGUGUGUGUGUGUGUGUGUGUAGUCCCACCCUGUGUUCUGUGUGUGUGUGUGUGUGUGUGUGUGUGUGUGUGUGUGUAGUCCCACCCUGUGUUCUGUGUGUGUGUGUGUGUGUAGUCCCACCCUGUGUGUGUGUGUGUGUGUGUGUGUGUGUAGUCCCACCCUGUGUGUUCUGUGUGUGUGUGUGUAGUCCCACCCUGUGUGUGUGUGUGUAGUCCCACCCUGUGUGUGUGUGUGUGUGUGUGUGUAGUCCCACCCUGUGUUCUGUGUGUGUGUGUGUGUGUAGUCCCACCCUGUGUUCUGUGUGUGUGUGUGUGUGUGUGUGUGUGUGUGUGUGUGUGUGUGUGUGUGUGUAGUCCCACCCAGUGUUCUGUGUGUGUGUGUGUAGUCCCACCCUGUGUUCUGUGUGUGUGUGUGUGUGUGUGUGUGUGUAGUUCCACCCUGUGUUCUGUGUGUGUGUGUGUGUGUGUGUGUGUGUGUGUGUGUGUGUGUAGUCCCACCCUGUGUUCUGUGUGUGUGUGUGUGUGUGUGUAGUCCCACCCUGUGUGUGUGUGUGUAGUCCCACCCUGUGUGUGUGUGUGUGUGUGUGUAGUCCCACCCUGUGUGUGUGUGUGUAGUCCCACCCUGUGUGUGUGUGUGUUCCCACCCUGUGUGUGUGUGUGUGUGUGUGUGUAGUCCCACCCUGUGUUCUGUGUGUGUGUGUGUGUGUGUAGUCCCACCCUGUGUUCUGUGUGUGUGUGUGUGUGUGUGUGUGUGUGUGUAGUCCCACCCAGUGUUCUGUGUGUGUGUGUGUAGUCCCACCCUGUGUUCUGUGUGUGUGUGUGUGUGUGUGUGUGUGUGUGUGUGUGUGUGUGUGUGUGUGUGUAGUCCCACCCUGUGUUCUGUGUGUGUGUGUGUGUGUGUGUGUAGUGUGUGUGUGUGUGUGUGUGUGUGUGUAGUCCCACCCUGUGUUCUGUGUGUGUGUGUGUGUGUGUGUAGUCCCACCCUGUGUGUGUGUGUGUGUGUGUGUGUGUGUGUGUAGUCCCACCCUGUGUGUGUGUGUGUGUAGUCCCACCCUGUGUGUGUGUGUGUGUGUGUGUAGUCCCACCCUGUGU